rnacentral:rRNA from 1 species
GUAGGGAAUAUUGCGCAAUGGACGAAAGUCUGACGCAGCGACGCCGCGUGAGUGAUGAAGGCCUUAGGGUCGUAAAGCUCUGUUGAAUGGGAAGAAAAAAAUGACGGUACCAUUCGAGGAAGGACCGGCUAACUUCGUGCCAGCAGCCGCGGUAAUACGAGGGGUCCUAGCGUUGUUCGGAAUCAUUGGGCGUAAAGGGUGUGUAGGUGGCCAUGUAAGUCAGGUGUGAAAGCCCCGGGCUCAACCCGGGAAGUGCACUUGAUACUGCGUGGCUUGAGUACCGAAGAGGGUAGUGGAAUUCCAGGUGUAGUGGUGAAAUACGUAGAUAUCUGGAGGAACACCGGUGGCGAAGGCGGCUACCUGGUCGAGUACUGACACUGAGACACGAAAGCAUGGGGAUCAAACAGGACUAGAAACCCGUGUAGUCC